CUAGCGGCAGUAGGGAGAAACGAAAUACGGAGGUCCAGUCGCCGUGUGUGCCGUAGAGGCUGCUGUCGCGGACGGAAGAAUGAAGCUGCUAGCAAAGAAAAAGCGAACGGCCAAGCAGUUCUGCUGUGUUCCUCGGUGCGUGCCAGCGAGAUGGAAGGACAGCGACAUUUCCGUUCACGCACUUCCCUCCGAGUGGAAAGGCUGAAGCCGCAGAACCAGGUGGAUCGCUAACCUCCGCAUCGGCAAGGCUGUGACGCUUACAGUGACUGUUUGCUCACGGCAUUUUGCACGGGAUAAUUUCUCCUUACCAGAUGUAGCAUGUCAAAGACAGCGGCUGAAAAAAAUGCAGUACCAACUGAAAACCUGCCAAGGACGUCAUGUUAUGAUGAGCGCAAGGAUGCUCAUAUGAAAGAGCUUUCACUGGCAAGACUUCGCCGACGUGUGUAUCGGUCAGCCAGAGUAAGUUAAUUUGACUACAUGGUGCAGCACUUAUAUGCUUAUGGUACAUACACCAUGUCUACAAGCAUGCAAUAGAUGUCAACACCUUUUAAUGCAUUACAGAAUGAAUCAAGCAAAGAAACUGUUGCCUCCCCAUUAGAAGCAAAGGUGUUGCCCCAUGCACCUGUCAGCACGACCGCCAUGGACGAUCUCCCAUCCCCUGACCACAACAGCAUGGACCAAAUAAGUGACAAAGGAAAUAUGGUAAUUUCUUUUUGUAUAUGUAUGUGUUGUGGUAGCUGUCUUUACCUAGACGGUGGCAUGCUUUCUGGAUUUACAUCGUAAAAGCAUUGUAGCACGUGGUGUGUGAUGGGUGCACAUUAAUUGCAACUUGUGCACACAUUGCUUAACCACUGGUUUCUUGAACUGAACUCUAUCUGACAUUGCAGGACGAUUUCCCAUCCCCUAACAGCAUGGACCAGAGCCUUGCAAACACCAUAAG